AACCAUUGUGAAUUGCAGAAUUUAGCAAAUCAAUAGGUUUCUGAAUGUAUUGUACACACUGCCUCUGUUUACACGCAGUGCACCCAUUUCAGCGCCUUUUAAAUUUCUGACUUAAUGUCGCGAUUGACUUGCAAAUAUUGCAAGUUUAAGUUGUGGCUGUGGCGCAAUCUCUCAUCUGCGCGAAGCUCUUUGAAACUUGGGCUGUUGCGUUGAUGAUUGAUCACGGCCCUAUUUUUUUUAUGGCCUGAAAUUGGAUGUGACGAUCCGCUGAAUUUAAGCAUAUAACUAAACGGAAGAAAAGAAAAUAACUAUGAUUCUCCUAGUAACGGCCAGUGAAA
rnacentral:rRNA from 1 species